rnacentral:rRNA from 1 species
GACGAACGCUGGCGGCGUGCUUAACACAUGCAAGUCGAACGGAAAGGCCCUGCUUUUGUUGGGUUCUCGAGUGGCGAACGGGUGUGUAUCACGUGAGUAACCUGCCCUUGUCUUUCGGAUAACUUCUGGGGACUGGGGCUAAUACCCCAUAGGAGCUCCUGCUGCAUGGUGUUCGUUGGUGAGUUUCGGCGGUGGGGGCUGGACUCGCUGCUUACGGGCUUCUUGGUGUGGUAGGGGCUGCCCAAGGCUUUGACGGGUAGCCGGCCUGAGAGGGUUACCGGGCACAAUGGGACUGAGAGACGGACCAGAAGCCUACGGGAGGCAGCAGUGGGAAAUAUUGCAGAAUGGGGCGAAGCCUGAUACAGCAAUGCCGGGUGCGGGAUGACGGCCUUCGGGUUGUAAACCGAUUUCGCCUGAGACGAAGCGGGAGUGACGGUAAUGGGUAAAGAAGCACCGGCUAACUACGUG